rnacentral:rRNA from 1 species
UACGUAGGGAGCAAGCGUUGUUCGGAAUUACUGGGCGUAAAGAGUGUGUAGGCGGUGCUCUAAGUUUGGUGUGAAAUCUCCCGGCUCAACUGGGAGGGUGCGCCGAAAACUGGAAUGCUUGAACGUGGGAGAGGAAAGCGGAAUUCCUGGUGUAGCGGUGAAAUGCGUAGAUAUCAGGAGGAACACCUGCGGUGUAGACGGCUUUCUGGACCAUUGUUGACGCUGAGACACGAAAGCGUGGGUAGCAAACAGG